GAUGAACGCUGGCGGCGUGCCUAAUACAUGCAAGUCGAGCGAACAGACGAGGAGCUUGCUCCUCUGACGUUAGCGGCGGACGGGUGAGUAACACGUGGAUAACCUACCUAUAAGACUGGGAUAACUUCGGGAAACCGGAGCUAAUACCGGAUAAUAUAUUGAACCGCAUGGUUCAAUAGUGAAAGACGGUUUUGCUGUCACUUAUAGAUGGAUCCGCGCCGCAUUAGCUAGUUGGUAAGGUAACGGCUUACCAAGGCGACGAUGCGUAGCCGACCUGAGAGGGUGAUCGGCCACACUGGAACUGAGACACGGUCCAGACUCCUACGGGAGGCAGCAGUAGGGAAUCUUCCGCAAUGGGCGAAAGCCUGACGGAGCAACGCCGCGUGAGUGAUGAAGGUCUUCGGACCGUAAAACUCUGUUAUUAGGGAAGAACAAAUGUGUAAGUAACUAUGCACGUCUUGACGGUACCUAAUCAGAAAGCCACGGCUAACUACAUG
rnacentral:rRNA from 1 species